rnacentral:rRNA from 1 species
CCUACGGGUGGCAGCAGUGAGGAAUAUUGGUCAAUGGGCUUACGCCUGAACCAGCCAAGUCGCGUGAGGGAAGACUGCCCUAUGGGUUGUAAACCUCUUUUUUCAGGGAGCAACGCCGGCUACGUGUAGCCGGACUGAGAGUACCUGAAGAAAAAGCAUCGGCAAACUCCGUGCCAGCAGCCGCGGUAAUACGGAGGAUGCGAGCGUUAUCCGGAUUUAUGGGGUUUAAAGGGUGCGUAGGCGGAAUGCCAAGUCAGCGGUAAAAUCGCGGGGCUGAACCGCGCUCCGCCGUUGAUACUGGCAGUCUUGAGUGGGCGAGAAGUAUGCGGAAGGCGUAGUGUAGCAGUGAAAUGCAUAGAUAUUACGCAGAACUCCGAUUGCGAAGGCAGCAUACCGGCGCCCAACUGACGCUGAAGCACGAAAGCGUGGGUAUCGAACAGGAUUAGAUACCCUAGUAGUC